rnacentral:rRNA from 1 species
GAUGAACGCUGGCGGCGCGCCUAACACAUGCAAGUCGAACGGCACCUGCCCUCGGGCAGAAGCGAGUGGCGAACGGCUGAGUAACACGUGGAGAACCUGCCCCCUCCCCCGGGAUAGCCGCCCGAAAGGACGGGUAAUACCGGAUACCCCCGGGCGCCGCAUGGCGCCCGGGCUAAAGCCCCGACGGGAGGGGAUGGCUCCGCGGCCCAUCAGGUAGACGGCGGGGUGACGGCCCACCGUGCCGACAACGGGUAGCCGGGUUGAGAGACCGACCGGCCAGAUUGGGACUGAGACACGGCCCAGACUCCUACGGGAGGCAGCAGUGGGGAAUCUUGCGCAAUGGGGGGAACCCUGACGCAGCGACGCCGCGUGCGGGACGGAGGCCUUCGGGUCGUAAACCGCUUUCAGCAGGGAAGAGUCAAGACUGUACCUGCAGAAGAAGCCCCGGCUAACUACGUGCCAGCAGCCGCGGUAAUACGUAGGGGGCGAGCGUUAUCCGGAUUCAUUGGGCGUAAAGCGCGCGUAGGCGGCCCGGCAGGCCGGGGGUCGAAGCGGUGGGCUCAACCCCCCGAAGCCCCCGGAACUUCCGCGGCUUGGGUCCGGUAGGGGAGGGUGGAACACCCGGUGUAGCGGUGGAAUGCGCAGAUAUCGGGUGGAACACCGGUGGCGAAGGCGGCCCUCUGGGGCCGAGACCGACGCUGAGGCGCGAAAGCUGGGGGAGCGAACAGGAUUAGAUACCCUGGUAGUCCCAGCCGUAAACGAUGGACGCUAGGUGUGGGGGGACGAUCCCCCCGUGCCGCAGCCAACGCAUUAAGCGUCCCGCCUGGGGAGUACGGCCGCAAGGCUAAAACUCAAAGGAAUUGACGGGGGCCCGCACAAGCAGCGGAGCAUGUGGCUUAAUUCGAAGCAACGCGAAGAACCUUACCAGGGCUUGACAUAUGGGUGAAGCGGGGGAGACCCCGUGGCCGAGAGGAGCCCAUACAGGUGGUGCAUGGCUGUCGUCAGCUCGUGUCGUGAGAUGUUGGGUUAAGUCCCGCAACGAGCGCAACCCCCGCCGCGUGUUGCCAUCGGGUGAUGCCGGGAACCCACGCGGGACCGCCGCCGUCAAGGCGGAGGAGGGCGGGGACGACGUCAAGUCAUCAUGCCCCUUAUGCCCUGGGCUGCACACGUGCUACAAUGGCCGGUACAGAGGGAUGCCACCCCGCGAGGGGGAGCGGAUCCCGGAAAGCCGGCCCCAGUUCGGAUUGGGGGCUGCAACCCGCCCCCAUGAAGUCGGAGUUGCUAGUAAUCGCGGAUCAGCAUGCCGCGGUGAAUGCGUUCCCGGGCCU